UCUGCGAUGAAUUCUGUAUAUUACACAGUCCAUCCUCAAGGAGUCUAUUCAUUUCAUUAAUAGGAGAAAAAAGGCACCACCUAUAGAAACAGUGUAUUAUCUCUUUUUAGUAGGACAAUGGAUGAUUUGAUAGAGCAUAGAGUUCAUUAUAGAGAGACAGUUUCUAGGUACUGUAUAUUGCAUUCUCCAGAGAAAUAGUUCCACUUGUAACACUUUUCCAUAUUUUCAAGAAAUUAUGGAUUUCAUAUUUCUUAUAUAUUAUCAUAUAGCUUUAACUUCCUGAAGCUACUCUUGAAUUGUAACCACCAAAACAAGUUAUUGAUUUGUAUGCCAAUUCAGAAUCAUUUAAAAAUAGCAUUUAAUUUUUAUUCACUUAGCUAGAAUUAACAAAACCCCUUCAUUUUUUUCAUGUACUAAUGACAACCAGUCAGGAAAUCUCUAAAAAUGAAUGGUAAAUAAUGUUCUUUGAAGAACACUUUCUAACUCCAAAGUUUAUUUACUUUGAAUUUUUACUAUCAUUUUUAAUCCCCUAAAAAUCUUCCAAAGAAUAUUUUGUCUGUGGUCAGAACAUAUUUAAAAUUCAAAAUGAACCGCAUUGUUAAAUAGACAGUAAUCUUUGCCAGACCAUCAGUACACAAGAGCAGCCUUGAACACAGCCCAGAAAUUAGUACUGCAGAGAACUCAGAGUACAAGUAAAAGUUAUUAUUAGCAGGGCUCCAUGAAUUAAAACUUGGGUCUGGUAGUGAUAGAGGUCAACUAGGACUUGAGGAGCCUGAUGAUCCAAUCCCAAUUGUGUUUCCAGUGGCAUCAGCUAAUCCUGACUAGUGUGGCUAAUCCUGGGCAACACACCUCUCUCCUUUCCUCCCACCCUUUAAACAUGAGGGGAUUGGAUAUGAUAAAUAUCUAAAAAAAAAAUCAGUGUGUUUAAAUGAUAAAAAUGACCUCUGAAAUUCCACAUUUGGAGAUAUUAAAAGAUCAUAAGAAAACUGUUUAUUCCUCAUCUAUCAGUUGUCUCUUUGAAGGCUACUGAGGUAGACCUAAAGGACCAGAGAGGGUCCCUGAGGCAGCUGCAGCAUCAUGGAAAGUCCUUCAGGUCUGUGGCACAGAAGAUGAGUAUAAUCUUGAAGAAGAUGUCAACUAUCAGAAGGAUAUUAUUUCACGUAUUUUAAGUUCAUGCCUCCAACAGAAUGCUCGCCUGCAAUCCAUCU
rnacentral:lncRNA from 1 species